CCGGCACGGGUGAGUAACACGUAUCCAACCUGCCGUCUACUCUUGGACAGCCUUCUGAAAGGAAGAUUAAUACAAGAUGGCAUCAUGAGUCCGCAUGUUCACAUGAUUAAAGGUAUUCCGGUAGACGAUGGGGAUGCGUUCCAUUAGAUAGUAGGCGGGGUAACGGCCCACCUAGUCUUCGAUGGAUAGGGGUUCUAAGAGGAAGGUCCCCCACAUUGGAACUGAGACACGGUCCAA
rnacentral:rRNA from 1 species